rnacentral:rRNA from 1 species
CUACGGGCGGCUCCAGUGGGGGAAUAUUGCACAAUGGGCGCAAGCCUGAUGCAGCCAUGCCGCGUGUAUGAAGAAGGCCUUCGGGUUGUAAAGUACUUUCAGCGGGGAGGAAGGGAGUAAAGUUAAUACCUUUGCUCAUUGACGUUACCCGCAGAAGAAGCACCGGCUAACUCCGUGCCAGCAGCCGCGGUAAUACGGAGGGUGCAAGCGUUAAUCGGAAUUACUGGGCGUAAAGCGCACGCAGGCGGUUUGUUAAGUCAGAUGUGAAAUCCCCGGGCUCAACCUGGGAACUGCAUCUGAUACUGGCAAGCUUGAGUCUCGUAGAGGGGGGUAGAAUUCCAGGUGUAGCGGUGAAAUGCGUAGAGAUCUGGAGGAAUACCGGUGGCGAAGGCGGCCCCCUGGACGAAGACUGACGCUCAGGUGCGAAAGCGUGGGGAGCAAACAGGAUUAGAUACCCUUGUAGUC